CUCUCUGCCUUGUCCCAGCCCCUUGGUUGACGGUCGCCUCAGAGAAGCCCUGGAUGAGGCUGAAGACACAUCUAAGAAGGAGGACACAGCACAAAUGCACACCACCACAGGACACAACCCGAUGACAGCAGACAAAGAGAGGCCCGUACUCGGUCUUUGCUGGCGCAGGCGAAACAGAGCUGUCUGCAGUGGAAGGAGCAAGCUCAGGGGCUUGUCCACUGGCCCCAGCGGCGGGAGCAGGAGAGCCCAGGGCUGCAAAAACAUCCUUUGCAAGGGUUCCAAAUGGAGAACAUGCAAUGUAAGGAAAGGUCACGACAGGCACCAGCUGAUGGCUCGGGGUGGUGCAGCUGCUGGGUCCCUGGGCUGGAGCAGAGCCCAAACCUCAGCAGGGUGGACAGGUCUGCACUCACGAGAAGGCGGCCUUGCCCUCCUCCAUGUCCUUGCCCUUGGCCCCGGGCCCGGCUUUUCCACACAGGUUGACCGCAAUGCACAUGAACAGGCCACAUUUGUUCAGGAAGUAGCAGGUGAUGUCCACGACCACCAGGAGCAGGACGAAGAUGACGAUGAGGAUGCCCACGAUGGCCCCGGUGCUCAGGCCUGAGGAAUGAUCCCAAAGGAACCCUGCAUUAGAGCACCCUGGGUUCAUGGUUUACCCUCCUCACUGCACCCCAGAAAGACGAGUGAAGCCCGGGUGACUCCAGAGACAUGGAGGCCUCCCC